CUUCUCAUCGAACUCCGCCUUCAAUCGGUUGGCGAGGUCAUCUACCACUCCACCUCUCGCCGAUCGAUCCUCUCCAUCUCCCCCAUCUACAUCCCGUCACCCUCCUCCAUCCCGGCCUCAUCUUCUUACCGAUGUGAACGCUGCCCAAUGCCAACUCCACCACCACCGGCACACCAAGGAAAGGGUUUUCUCCCUCUGGUCAUCACCCAUCGUGCAUCUCCUCCCUCUUCUCAUCUUCCUUCCACAAUAAGCCUUCAAGCUUCCAACAGCAGCUCCACCACAUCUCUUCCAUAUCCGGUCUUCGAUCUACGAGUUCUUGGACUUUCCUAGCUUCGUAUUCCAUCCGGACAGCUAUCUUCUUCAUCCAUCUUCGAUCCAGCAGCCUUCUCUUCUUCGCCAAGUCCGCAGCAAUUCCCUUCACCACCGGACAACUUCAUAUGCACCUUACAGAAAUUGGGUUGUUUCCUUUAUCAUGUUGGAUGUGUGUUGAUGUUUUUUAUUGAAUGCUUGUAUCAAACUUGAUCUUCCUUAAUUAGAUUGAAUGCACUUGGUUUUAAUUGUUUCAUGCACACAACUUGUUUGACAAAAUGUUCUAAUCUUCUAAUUCUUGCAUGUCACGUGUUCGGUAAAAUGUCUCUUUCAAUAAUUAGGUUCAAUUUGACGCAUCUUAGUUUGCUUAACUCUUGCUUUGUAUUGAUCUUUCAAUUGCUAAGUUUUAUGUCUUCAUUUAAAUUCAAUUAGGUUAAGUUAGUGUCUUCAUUUAAAUGCAGUUAGUUUUAUGUCUUCAUUUCUAUGUUUAGUGUUUAUUGUAUUUUAAGUUGUUACAUAUUGCUUCCUUAUAGCCACAAUAUUAUAACUAAUUUGCAGAUGAGAAUGAGGUUAUCUGGAGGCAAUCAAGUUAUCCAAGAAUGACUCGUAAUUAUUUAAUGAGGAUACCAAGAGCAAAUGUUGCAUUAGCCACAACAACCAAGAGCAAAUGUUGCAUUCAAAAGCAUCUUUUAAUCUUUUGAUUAUCUCAACAAAAUUGGUUGGUUCGUUAAUUUGUACAAGAGAAGCAAUUUCUCUCAUG